GGACUUCCCCCAUUGGGGCUGCGCAUCGUGCCUAGGAGAUGGGAAAGAAGACAAGAGGGGAUUUUCUCUUUUCCCAGGCACUGAGAAGCCAUCAUGGAUACCUGAAUGACUGACUCAGCUUGUGGAAGAUGGACGAGAGCUUCCAAAGCAUCAGCAGAGGCUAGACCUGAAGAAAAGGAAGAGAACAGGGCAGCAGAAUUGUCUAACUUUGAAGAACAGAGUCUGCCUACCAACAAUGACUCAGAUGAAGAAACUAGUGACUUAGGGAAAAGACUGGGAGAAAUCUCAGGGGAAGUGUGACUGUUCUUGUUAUGCUGUCUCUGUUGAGUGCAUCUGUUACUGCUGAGACAUCCUGGGCUUAUGUACCUGACCAACCUGCCCUUCACUUUGUUAACUGGGAAUUGAAUACCAUUCCUGUUUAUGUCAAUGACCCUGAGAUCUUGGGUGCCCCACUGCUAAUCAUAUUGUUCUCCAGGCAGAGAUGGCUACAAGGCAGCUUGAGUAUUGAUUUUCAGCUCUUGCAUAAUUAAAUAUUAACCAUUCAUCAUUAAGAGUUAUAUAAAUUGCCAUUUUCUAUGACUGCACAAAACCUGACAAAGAUUUUUUUGGUCACUAUUUUUCUGUCUCUAAUUGGACUUCUAAACUAUGGCCCAUAGGAAUGUCAUUAGAAAGUUUUUUGAUGGUUAUACUUGUUAUGCAGCCUUGAGAUUGGUUUGCUAUUCCAUGUCUGCUUAAAAAGAUUGACUUACAUACCCUAAAAUUAAGAAAUUUAAAGAGGGGGGAUUGCAGGGAGACAUGGAGUUGGCGUGACCCAGCUGCCUUGGAGGCAGGUCAGAGUCCGUGGCUCCUGGGGGCACUGUGCCUUCCAGUUCCUGGGAGACUGCUGCUCUCCCUCAAGGCAGUGAGGCAUUCAGGCCACUUGGUGUUUCUCUGUCUGGUCCUUUAGUAGUCAAGGAAACAUGGAAACUUGACAGGACUAUUGUUCUUAGACAUUAAUCUUGUGUACUCUGCAUAGCUUGAAAACUUCGUUGUAUCCUGGCAGCUACAACUGUAUUGAUCCUGGCAAUUGCCAUUGUAUUCUGUUUCUGAUAAAGGUAUAAAAGUCUGAUUGCUCUCAAUAAAGUUGUCACAGCCUCAGUCUUGCUAUGGCCCCUUCAA